rnacentral:rRNA from 1 species
AUGGCCGCGCAGGCGCCGCCGCCGCCACCGCCGGAGCAGAAGAUGAUGGUGGCGAUCGACGAGAGCGAGUGCAGCCACUACGCGCUCGAGUGGGCCCUGCGCAACCUCGCGCCCCGCCGCCUCAUCCUCUUCACCGUCCAGCCCUUCUCCCCCCUCAGCUACCUCCCCGCCGGCUCCCCGCGAGCAGUCGGCCCGUCGGUGGCGUCGCCGGAGCUCAUCAGGUCCGUGACCGAGCACCAGCGGCAGCUCGCCCAGGCGCUCGUCGACAAGGCCAAGGCCAUCUGCGCCGAACACGGGUUUGAAGCAGAGACCGCCAUCGAGGUGGGUGAUCCCAAGGAAACCAUAUGCGAAGCUGCAGAGAAGUUGAAUGUUGAUCUGCUCAUCCUGGGAAGCCACAGCCGAGGGCCUAUACAAAGGUUUUUCCUUGGCAGUGUGAGCAACUAUUGUAGCCACCACGCAAAGUGUCCAGUUCUUGUGGUGAAGAAGAAAGAAUAA